CUGCACUUUGAAAGCAGAGGGAAGCCAUUUUUACAGCAUUUACAAAAAAAAAAGAAAUGUGUCUGCUUUAGCAGUGCCUAGAACAUGUAGACUGCCUUCAAACUUCAAAUCCCAGCAUGCACUUCACCUUCCCGAUUGCUGUAUAAAUCCAUGCAUUAGAUGUCAAAGUAAGCAAAACCUGAUGCUAUUACUGGCCUAUACUAUAGAUGACUUCAUGUUUUAUUCUUGAGACAUAAUUCAUCGCACCCGUAGCUGUCAGAUAGAAACCUUCCCCACCGUGGUGCAAAAACAUGCUGAAUUAUUUAGCUGCUUAUUGGUGAUUUGGAUGUUUUGGGGGGGGGGUUGGUCACAAAGCAGAGUAGUGUCUCCGUGAUAUUCUGCAGGGCUGUGCUCCCCCCGCAAUGCAGUCCGCCGAUGCGAUGAGUUGACUCACAGCUGCAUUCCUGCACACCGCUGCAUCGACAACGCGCUGCUGCGCUCGAGGGGAAAAGGGUGAUGAGGCUCCCGAGCCAGCGGGACGGACGGAGACGCGAUACCGGCGCGCACACGCACGCCGCCGGGCACUGACAUCUGCUCCAUCCAAGAUGGGACGCGGGUGGAGAUGACAUGACAUAUGCUGUACGUGUGGGGCGGAGCAGAGAAAACCCUGACAUUAUCAUAAUAAAGGUUUCGGAGGGAUGAACUGUAGGUAAGAAUUAAAAAUCAAAAUGCACGUACUUUUUCUUGUAUUUGCCAAAGAACAAAAAAAACUUUGUGUCAUCAACACGUUUUUAGUGGCAAAAAGUGUCUAAGUUACCACAAAAUGGAAACAAGACAAAUACGUACAAUAAAUAAUUCUGCUGAAAUAUUCAAGUGACAUUGUGUUGUGUGAACAGGUCUACGUUUGUCAGUAACAAAUACAAAUUCUAACUGUCAAUAAUGUUAUAAUUUAUAACAAACUAUUGAGUCGCCACUUGAGUUUUUGUGGUUAAAUUUAACCUUAUUUAAGCUGGCCAGUUAAUGCACUGUAACACACAAAUGGAGGUUGGUCCAAGACAGUUUGAGGUGAAUAUAAUAAUCUAUUUACUGUUAGUGCUACAAGACCCAAAAACUAUGAAGGAACACUUAAUUAUUAUAACAUUUUCAUUUGUUAAAGAGACUAAAAAGAACAAUCAUUAAAGACUGCCAGAAAAGGGAGAUCUGUAAAGUUUUUUUAUUCACUGUUUAAAAAUUGGGAGCUUGUAUUUUAAAAUGUAACUUCGUGUGCAACAUAUGGCAAUAAAUAAACACUUUCUAUGCAGUUCCCAUUCACUGCAAUAGACGAGAACACAGAGGGACUUAAAUAGUCUUGUCAGAUACGGUGCUAGGUAAGGAUGUCAUUCAUAGAAAUGUGCAGUUUGGAGGGUACCUAAUCGGUUAUCCUACAAACUGCAAAACACAUAAUAUAGCCAGCAGUCCAAACUAGUAUAAUCUAGUGGAAGUGGCAGCAACCUAAAUACAGAUGUUGUUACAAAAUAAAAAAAUAGCAGCAUAAUUAGUUUAAGCAUUACUGUCAAGGUGCUGGAGCAUAUUGAGUCAAACUGCCAAAGAAAAAAGGUGCAGCAAUAUCUUCACAGUCUGAACAUUUUAGGAAUAAACAAAAUGUGACCCCUUCAUGUCAUGCAGAACGCAAUGGUGGGGCUCACUGGCAGUAGCAUGACCAAAACUGGGUUAAUGUUAAAAUCCCCCUCAUAUCAGACAAAGCACAAGUCUUAGUAAACAGUACACUCGUUAGAAAAUGGGCAACUUAAAAAAAA